ACGAGUUUGAUCAGUGGCUACAGGACGAACGCUGGCGGCGUGCCUAACACAUGCAAGUCGAGGGGCAGCGCGAAUGUUAGCAAUAACAUUUGGCGGCGACCGGCGCAAGGGUGCGUAACGCGUGAGCAACUUGCCCGUUUCUGGGGGAAUAACCGGUGGAAACGCCGACUAAUACCCCAUAGUAUUGGAUUUAGGCAUCUUAAUCCAAUUAAAGAAUUUCGGAAACGGAUAGGCUCGCGUGACAUUAGCUAGAUGGCGGGGUAACGGCCCACCAUGGCGACGAUGUCUAGGGGUUCUGAGAGGAAGGUCCCCCACACUGGAACUGAGACACGGUCCAGACUCCUACGGGAGGCAGCAGUGAGGAAUAUUGGUCAAUGGUCUGACGACUGAACCAGCCAUGCCGCGUGAAGGUGACGGCCCUAUGGGUCUUAAACUUCUUUUGUAAGGGAGCAAUAAGGUGUACGUGUACAUCGAUGAGAGUACCUUACGAAUAAGCAUCGGCUAACUCCGUG
rnacentral:rRNA from 1 species